GAAAAGGAAAAAAAGGAGGUGCUUCAUCGGAGGCUAAAGAAAAAGAAAGAGAAAGAUUGAAAGGAAAAAAUGGGAAGUUUAGCGGCUGAAGGCUGAGGAGAGGCUUCGGCUGAGUGAAGGGAAAAGGACGGAGAGGGAAGCUCAACGAAAACAAAAAACAGAGAAAAGGAAAAGAGGGUGGCGGCUGACGGGCAGAGGAGGAAAAAAGAGCAAAAACGCAAGGGGAAAACAGAGGGGCUGAGAACAAGGAGAAGAAAAAGGAGAGAACCGAGAGGGGGGCUUCGGUGGGGAAAAACAGAGAAGGCCGAGAGAGGUUUGGGCUAAAAAGAACAAAGCAAAGGAAAGACAAGGGGCGGCGGAACAAAGCAGAAAACUAAGAGGAAAAUGGACUGCUAGGGUUAGAGAAAAGGGAGACGCGAAAGUGAAAGGGAGAACUUCGGGGAGUUUCUGAGAGGAAGACAAGAGCAGGAACCAGAACAAGAGGAAGAAAGAAGCUUCGGGCUAGGGAAAAAUCAAAACGGAGGCAGAGGAGAGUAAGAACCAGAAUCACCACUGCCGUCGACCACCGCCAGCGCCGCCACUUCACCGAAUCCACCAUCAUCACCGGCCAAUUUUCAUCAAGCAAGAGCACGGUAAGCUGUCUUUUCUUCUUUAAAACUUCAGUUUUGUUCAAGCCUUUGAAACAGGCUGCCGUGACUGUGUUUGGUUGCAAUUUUCGGUUGUUUGUUCAUGAUUUUUUAAUACGCAUGCUAUAUGUGUUAAUUGGACUGUUUGCUGUGUUUCUGGCAAACUUUUGGGGCUGAAAAUGACCUUAAUUGAGCAAAAAAAGUCGGUGAAAUUUUGGUGCCUAUUUGCUGUUCGACGAAAUGCCUAACCGAAAGUCCUGCUUUGAAGAUGAUUUUUGCUUGCGUUUUGCGUUGUUCUUAUCCCAGAAAUUUUGUUUACCAGAGUUGGGUAGUUGAAGUUUUUGGUAAUUAUGCUAGAGGUUGGGUUUUGUUUUUGCUAAGAUGGCAUGCUGUAGCUCCCUGCUUUUCCCUUGUGGUUGUGCAAUCAGCCACGGAUUUAAGGGGGGGCUGGUGGGGGCUUAAGCCCCCCCCAAGCCGCCGGAAAACCCCCUAUAAUCAAACGCUAAGGCUUACUCUGCCUAUCUCAGUCGAUCUCAAGGACACCGCCAUCCCCGACUGCCUCCAGUCCUGCUGCCAGAAGAGCACCGCCGCUAGCAGUCCACCGUAAGUUAUCCCUUUCAUUUGUAUUUCAUUUUUUUUCCUUGAUCACAAGUUUUGGAAAGUUUUUCAAAUGGGUCUGCCAUGACUUGGUUGUUGCGUUUCCCCUGUUGAUGGCCCAUAAUUUUAUGAUUAUACGUGUUUUAUGUGUUGAUUUGGUUGGAUUUUCUUGGGAUUUCUGAUAAUUUUGGGUGCUGCUUUACAUCAAUUGAGC
rnacentral:lncRNA from 1 species